rnacentral:lncRNA from 1 species
GCUUCCCGGAGCCCGGUAUGAGAGGCGGACAGGCCUGGGACUGCCCUUGCAAAGCCUCGGACGCCGGCGGUACGGAGCCUGCCCAGGUAGAGCCUCCGAGAUGGACAAGGCAGUGGCUGCUGAAACCUCGGAGGCGUUCCAGACGAGGCCUGCUGAUGCAGAUCCUCGGAGACCUCGGGGGUGUGGCUUAAGGCGGGUUUUGCUGCUAUUGGGCGACAGAGGGCAUCUGGGGCGGAGUUUGCUAGAUGAGGGCAGAAGCGGUUUUGUGUACAGGGACCAGAGCGCCACCUAAAGGAAAGACCUGGCUUAGAGCUGAUGGAAGGCGUGUCCGGAAAAGCCGGCCAGCUUCGCUUGAGUUUCUUUCCAGGGACUUCCCUAUCUGUGGCACAGUUGGUUUGGACUCUGUGUCUCCGGAACGCUUGAGUAACCUGAAUUGAAUGGGUCCUGACUUCGGGUUCGGGAGUUGGGAUGUCUGGCUGCUGAAGAUCUUCUGGGCCCCUUUUCUCUCGUCUCCUGGGUGUCCGUGCUUUCCAGAACGUCUCACAGGAAGAGCUCUGGGUCGGAGCACAGUCGGAGUCAUCAGGUGCCUCUGGGCGCCCACUCCAAGAGAACGAAGAGUACGCGCCUCCCUCAGCCUUAUUCCACCAGACUACCGAGAGGACUUCAACCUGGCCUUUUACCUCUAGUUCUCCAAGUAUACACCCAUCCCUACCUUGGCCUGUGUGAUCCCUAUCUAUCAUAUUAGGCACACUUCGAUGACCCCCGGCUCUCAGAACCAGCCUUAGAGCAUCGCAUUUAAAUAGAAUGAUGAGUGUCAGCUG